UAUCAGAGAGACGAGUUUGUUUGUCAGCUGUUUGUGUGGAGUUGUUCUUUAUGUUCACCUCAAAUCAACCUGAGUGUCAUUUCUCUUUAGUUCUGAUCUCACUGCUGAGCUGCACAACAAACCAAGCUCGUCUGACUGUGAGUCCCAGCAGCUCUCAGUUCUUUGAAUAUGACUCUGUAUCUCUGAGCUGUGAGGAAGAUGACAGCUCUGCUGGAUGGACUCUGAGGAGAAACACAAGCACAGACACCAGAGCUGAGUGUGAGGAGUGGGGGCAAUUAACUGGUUCUUCUUGUACCACAAGAAGUAUCGUCCAGUUGGACAGUGGAGUUUACUGGUGUGAGUCCAGAGAGGGUCCCAUCAGUAACAUGGUUAACCUGACAGUCACUGGUGGAUCAGUGAUCCUGCAGAGUCCUGUCCUCCCUGUGAUGGAGGGAGAUGACGU